rnacentral:rRNA from 1 species
UGCAAUCUGCCUUUCACAGAGGGAUAGCCCAGAGAAAUUUGGAUUAAUACCUCAUGGUAUAUUUGAGUGGCAUCACUUAAUUAUUAAAGAAUUUCGGCUAAGGAUGAGCGUGCGUCCCAUUAGGUAGUUGGUAGGGUAAUGGCCUACCAAGCCGACGAUGGGUAGCUGGUGUGAGAGCACGACCAGCCACACUGGUACUGAGACACGGACCAG